UGCCACAAGGUAAAUCAGGAAUUUCUUAUUGGUUUGGAUCCAUUGCUGGUGAGCUACUGUGAUUUUGGGGGGUUGUUAAAAAACCUUGUUUUGUCUUAUUACAGGAGUUGGUUUUCUGGUCCCUUCUCAUUUGCAUAGGCUCUGACAGGGAGAAGGUCUGAGGCUGAAGGCUAUUGUUCAGAUUCUUUUGUCCCAUGGGGUAUUCCCUUGAUGUAGUACUCUCCCCCUUUUGCUAAAGAUGUGACUUCCUGAGAGUCAAACUGUAGUGAUUGUUGUCUCUUUUCCGGAUCUAGCCACCCCACAAGUCUACCAGCCUUCAUGCUGGCAUUGGGGGUUGCCUGUACAGAG
rnacentral:lncRNA from 13 species